GAUCUCGUAGCUCAGCCGGUAGAGCAUCUGACUUUUAAUCAGAGGGUCCUGGGUUCGAAUCCCAGCGAGAUCACCA
rnacentral:tRNA from 1 species